rnacentral:rRNA from 1 species
CCUACGGGUGGCAGCAGUGAGGAAUAUUGGUCAAUGGGCGCGAGCCUGAACCAGCCAAGUAGCGUGAAGGAUGACUGCCCUACGGGUUGUAAACUUCUUUUAUAAAGGAAUAAAGUGAGUCACGUGUGCCUUUUUGUAUGUACGUUAUGAAUAAGGAACGGCUAACUCCGUGCCAGCAGCCGCGGUACUACGGAGGAUCCGAGCGUUGUCCGGAUUUAUUGGGUUUAAAGGGAGCGUAGAUGGGUUGUUAAGUCAGUUGUGAAAGUUUGGGGCUCAACCGUAAAAUUGCAAUUGAUACUGGCAGCCUUGAGUAUCGUAGAGGGAGGCGGAAUGCGAGGUGUAGCGGUGAAAUGCGUAGAGAUCACGAGGAACUCCGAUGGCGAAGGCAGCCUACUGAACUGACACUGACAUUGAUGCUCGAAAGUGUGGGUAGCAAACAGGAUUAGAUACCCUAGUAGUC